rnacentral:rRNA from 1 species
UUUGAAAUCUGACCCCGGCGGGGCCCGAGUUGUAAUUUGUAGAGGGUGUUUCGGGCGCGGCGCCGGUCUAAGUUCCUUGGAACAGGACGUCAUAGAGGGUGAGAAUCCCGUAUGUGACCGGCGAUCAAGCCCAUGUGAAGCCCCUUCGACGAGUCGAGUUGUUUGGGAAUGCAGCUCAAAAUGGGUGGUAAAUUCCAUCUAAAGCUAAAUACUGGCCGGAGACCGAUAGCGGACAAGUAGAGUGAUCGAAAGAUGAAAAGCACUUUGGAAAGAGAGUUAAACAGUACGUGAAAUUGUUGAAAGGGAAGCGCUUGCAAUCAGACCGGUCCGGGGGCGAUCAGCCGCUGCUCGUCAGCCGGUGCACUCGCCUCCGAUCCGGCCAGCAUCGGUUUGGGCGGUGGGAUAAAAGUCCCGGGAAUGUAGCUUCUUUCGGGGAGUCUUAUAGCCCGGGGCGCAAUGCUGCCUGCCUUGGACCGAGGACCGCGCUUCGGCUAGGAUGCUGGCGUAAUGGUUGCAAGCGACCCGUCUUGAAACACGGACCAAGGAGUCUAACAUCUAUGCGAGUGUUUGGGUGUCAAACCCAGGCGCGGAAUGAAAGUGAACGGAGGUGGGAGCCCGUCAAGGGUGCACCAUCGACCGAUCCAGAUGUCUUCGGAUGGAUUUGAGUAUGAGCAUAGCUGUUGGGACCCGAAAGAUGGUGAACUAUGCCCGGAUAGGGUGAAGCCAGAGGAAACUCUGGUGGAGGCUCGCAGCGGUUCUGACGUGCAAAUCGAUCGUCAAAUCUAGGCAUAGGGGCGAAAGACCAAUCGAACCAUCUAGUAGCUGGUUCCUGUCGAAGUUUCCCUCAGGAUAGCAGUAACGUUUUCAGUUUUAUGAGGUAAAGCGAAUGAUUAGAGGCCUUGGGGCUGAAACAGCCUUAACCUAUUCUCAAACUUUAAAUAUGUAAGAAGUCCUUGUUACUUAGUUGAACGUGGACAUUUGAAUGCACCGUUACUAGUGGGCCAUUUUUGGUAAGCAGAACUGGCGAUGCGGGAUGAACCGAACGCGAGGUUAAGGUGCCGGAAUGCACGCUCAUCAGACACCACAAAAAGUGUCAAUUCAUCCAGACAGCCGGACGGUGGCCAUGGAAGUCGGAAUCCGCUAAGGAGUGUGUAACAACUCACCGGCCGAAUGAAUUGGCCUUGAAAAUGGAUGGCGCUCAAGCGUGCUACCCAUACCUCG